rnacentral:tRNA from 1 species
GGCACUGAAGUGGAUUUUCCGGCGAUCUAGGUCAGCGCUCUCAAUGCUGACAAAUCCGGCAGCCUUGUGCGGUUCGAGACCGCACAAGGCUGC